rnacentral:ncRNA from 1 species
CGGGAGCUUUCCCCGAGCAUGAAACAGUCGACUCAGAACUGGUACGGACAAGGGGAAUCCGACUGUUUAAUUAAAACAAAGCAUUGCGAUGGUCCUCGCGGAUGCUGACGCAAUGUGAUUUCGGACCAGUGCUCUGAAUGUCAAAGUGAAGAAAUUCAACCAUCAACCAAGCGAACCAAGCGCGGCAAGCGCGGGCGCGGGUAAACGGCGGG